AGCCUUUACAGGAGGAGCUCUGGGAACCCUUGAGCACUGAGGCCAUGGGGGGACCUCGUGGAGAUGCUGCCCCUGCCCUGGACACCGGCCUGGCCCAGCGAGGACUUGGAACCUCUACCCCAGGCUGUGAGGGGGUGAAGCUGGGGCUGCGUACUCCACAGAGCCAGUGGGAGCAAGAAGUAAGUAGCAGCCCCACCCUUCCAGCUUUGUUCUUUUUGCUUAGGAUUGUCUUGGCUAUAAGAACUCUUUUCUCAUUCCAU
rnacentral:lncRNA from 1 species